GGUUAAAUUGUAUUGUUGUGUGUUUUGUUGUAGGUGGUACAUAAUCUGAUUCCACCAGUAUGUGUUUCCAACCCCAAGCUCUGCACAAGGUGAAGGUUAUCUGGAGUCAUUCCACAGGCCCUGCUGAAAUGCGGGGCAUUUUGGGUACACAAGCAUGAGGGAGGGGCCACACCUUGCGGUUAUGGAGCACAACAAGAUUGUGGGACAAAAACGAGGGACACUGAAAGGAGAUGUGCAGUACUAGCAAAUCUUCUGCAAGAGGUCCAAACAGUUGGUGGUUAAGGUCUACGAGCCCUACAUCACGUCCGUCAGUCUUAUCUAGCUGGCCGUACACCACAGAUGGGACAAGACCAUUCGCCACAAGCAUUCUGCUUCCACAGUCCACCAUUGCCAGCGUACC